rnacentral:rRNA from 1 species
UACGUAGGGAGCAAGCGUUGUCCGGAAUCAUUGGGCGUAAAGAGCGCGUAGGCGGUCCGGUAAGUCGGUUGUGAAAACUGGGGGCUCAACCCUCAGAGGCCGACCGAUACUGCCGGGCUAGAGUCCGGAAGAGGCGAGUGGAAUUCCUGGUGUAGCGGUGAAAUGCGCAGAUAUCAGGAGGGACACCAAUGGCGAAGGCAGCUCGCUGGGACGGUACUGACGCUGAGGCGCGAAAGCGUGGGGAGCAAACAGG